rnacentral:rRNA from 1 species
AGUGAACGCUGGCGGUAGGCCUAACACAUGCAAGUCGAACGGCAGCACAGUAAGAGCUUGCUCUUACGGGUGGCGAGUGGCGGACGGGUGAGGAAUACAUCGGAAUCUACUUUUUCGUGGGGGAUAACGUAGGGAAACUUACGCUAAUACCGCAUACGACCUACGGGUGAAAGCAGGGGAUCUUCGGACCUUGCGCGAUUGAAUGAGCCGAUGUCGGAUUAGCUAGUUGGCGGGGUAAAGGCCCACCAAGGCGACGAUCCGUAGCUGGUCUGAGAGGAUGAUCAGCCACACUGGAACUGAGACACGGUCCAGACUCCUACGGGAGGCAGCAGUGGGGAAUAUUGGACAAUGGGCGCAAUCCUGAUCCAGCCAUACCGCGUGGGUGAAGAAGGCCUUCGGGUUGUAAAGCCCUUUUGUUGGGGAAGAAAAGCAGCAGGUUAAUACCCCGCUGUUCUGACGGUACCCAAAGAAUAAGCACCGGCUAACUUCGUG